rnacentral:rRNA from 1 species
GAUGAACGCUAGCGACAGGCCUAACACAUGCAAGUCGAGGGGCAGCGCGAGGUAGCAAUACUGAGGUGGCGACCGGCGCACGGGUGAGUAACACGUAUGCAACCUACCUGUAAGAGGGGAAUAACCCGGAGAAAUUCGGACUAAUACCGCAUAACACUGCCAUACCGCAUGGUAUAGCAGUUAAACAUUUAUGGUUUACAGAUGGGCAUGCGUAUGAUUAGAUAGCUGGUGAGGUAACGGCUCACCAAGUCAACGAUCAUUAGGGGUUCUGAGAGGAAGGUCCCGCACACUGGUACUGAGACACGGACCAGACUCCUACGGGAGGCAGCAGUGAGGAAUAUUGGUCAAUGGGCGAGAGCCUGAACCAGCCAAGUCGCGUGAAGGAAGAAGGUUCUAUGGAUUGUAAACUUCUUUUGUAAGGGAAUAAAAAGAGUUACGUGUAACUUAUUGUAUGUACUUUACGAAUAAGGAUCGGCUAACUCCGUGCCAGCCGCCGCUGUAA